GUUGUUUUUCUGAAAAUCAAUUAAAGAACUGUUUAUGCUAAGUUGUUUAGACUUUAUCAGCUAACUGUUUAGUUUUGAGCUUUUCUUUAAUGCACUUUUCAGUUAACAAGUCAACAUCAAUUUCUUUUGCUGUAAAAAAGCUUGAGGAAGGUGGCUUGAGAUUCGUCUUAAGUGUUUAUAGCCUCUUGCCUAUGCAGUCGGAGAGAUUGAGGUCUGCAGCGUAGAUCCUUCGGGGCUAAAUGCAUUUGUGCUAAGUUAUAGCAUUUUAUAGACAACUUGUUGACUAUGAUUUGUCUUGUAGCUUACUCGCUUAUGUUAUUUUACCUAC
rnacentral:rRNA from 1 species